UCCGAGGUAAAGCUUCACAUAUUUGUCAAUAGAUAGCAUUAGAGCUUUGAAAUCCAAAAGGGCAGAUGUUCAUAUUCAUUCCAUGGCCUGUGGUAAGCCCUCGAAAGUGACCAUUGUCGAGACUCGCGCGGGACUGUGGUGUGUGCACGCUUUCGAGCGCGCGAAAAAAAAGGCUGUAGUUUUUUCAAUUUUCAUCAAAAUCGAGUCAACCAAAAUGGAUAUUAUUCCUCAAGUGUUUUGUCGACUCGGUCGGAGCCUCGUGGCCCGCCUCGUGGGAUUAGUGUAGCGGGGCGACGCAGACAACGUCAUUCAUCGAAACGACGUCGAUGAUGAGAAUUCAGAUAGCGAUUAGUAUGUAUCUUUAAAAAUUAUGUUAUUUUGUUUUAUAAGAAAAAAAUCUGUAUGAAUUAAAGAAAUUAAUUUACAAAAUAUCACUUUUAACAAAGUUGUACCAUUUUUCACGAAAUAUUUCCGCCAUUUUCGGUCCACCAUUUUUAAUUUCGCAUUUUUACAUUCGUUUUCGGAAUCGGCGACCCCAAAAACAUUACUAGUAUGAAUUUC
rnacentral:lncRNA from 1 species